rnacentral:rRNA from 1 species
CACGUAGGGUGCGAGCGUUGUCCGGAAUUAUUGGGCGUAAAGAGCUCGUAGGCGGUGUGUCGCGUCGGCCGUGAAAACCUGCAGCUUAACUGUGGGCGUGCGGUCGAUACGGGCAUCACUGGAGUUCGGCAGGGGAGACUGGAAUUCCCGGUGUAGCGGUGAAAUGCGCAGAUAUCGGGAGGAACACCAGUAGCGAAGGCGGCACCCUGGGCCGGUACUGACGCUGAGGAGCGAAAGCGUGGGGAGCAAACAGG